CUUUGCUCUCAGACAUUAAGAGGUCAGUGUUGAUCAGCGGCUGUCCAGGCCUUUCAGAGACACUGACACGUCCACAGCUCAAUGAUGAAGUCAUUUAUUCUACUGAUGGCCACCCUGAGGCUCCUUGUUCACGGUUCAUCUGGAGACAUUAUCCUGACUCAGGAUCCUGGAUCUCAGUCUGCUCUCCCAGGACAGACUGUUUCUAUCAGAUGUAAAUCCAGCAGACUGAUAGGUGACGACAUCGACUGGUACCUUCAGAAAACAGGAGAGGCUCCUAAACUCCUGAUUGUUGAUACCACAUCCCGUCAGUCUGGAGUUCCAGAUCGAUUCAGUGCGACAGCCCAUCAGACUGACUUUACUCUGACCAUCAGAGGAGUCCAACCUGAGGAUGCAGGAGAUUAUUACUGUCAGCAGCAUAACAACCGCCCGUUCACACAGUGA